rnacentral:lncRNA from 1 species
UAGCACAUUGGCUUCUAAUUGCUAUGUUAUCUUUAUAUCUUGCAUUGGUCAUUCUAUAUCAUGCUAUGUACAUUAUCGUGGCAUAUUAUUGUAUGUAUUGUUUUGCUUGUGUGAUCGUUAUCAUUUUCGUCAUUGUAUUAUUAUAUCAAUUAUUCCCCAUGCAUUAUUGUAAUCGGGUUGCAUUUUUUUAGGUUAGCUAUAUUUAAU